rnacentral:rRNA from 1 species
UCCCCUGUUUAUCAAAAACAUGUCUUAUUGAAAAUAAUUUUAAGUCAAAUCUGCUCAAUGAUAAUUUUAUUAAAUAGCUGCAGUAAAUAUGACUGUACUAAGGUAGCAUAAUAAAUAGUUUAUUAAUUAUAAACUUGUAUGAAAGAUUUAAUGUAAUAAAUACUGUUUCAAUUUAAAAAAAUAAAUUUUUUUUUUAAGUAAAAAAACUUAAAUAAAAUUAAAAGACGAGAAGACCCUAUAGAAUUUUAUAAAUUAAUUUUAAUUAAUUUAUUUUUAAUUAAAAUUAAAUUAUUUAAUUGGGGAGAUUAUAAAAUUUAAAAAACUUUUAUAUAAAUUUACAAUAAUUAUUGAAUAAAAUAUAAUUUUUAAAAAAAAUAAAAUAAAUUACCUUAGGGAUAACAGCAUAAUUUUUUUUUUAAGUUCGUAUUACUAAAAAAGAUUAUGACCUCGAUGUUGAAUUAAGA